GAUGAACGCUGGCGGCGUGCCUAAUACGUGCAAGUCGAGCGAACGGACGAGAAGCUUGCUUCUCUGAUGUUAGCGGCGGACGGGUGAGUAACACGUGGAUAACCUACCUAUAAGACUGGGAUAACUUCGGGAAACCGGAGCUAAUACCGGAUAAUAUUUUGAACCGCAUGGUUCAAAAGUGAAAGACGGUCUUGCUGUCACUUAUAGAUGGAUCCGCACUGCAUUAGCUAGUUGGUAAGGUAACGGCUUACCAAGGCAACGAUGCAUAGCCGACCUGAGAGGGUGAUCGGCCACACUGGAACUGAGACACGGUCCAGACUCCUACGGGAGGCAGCAGUAGGGAAUCUUCCGCAAUGGGCGAAAGCCUGACGGAGCAACGCCGCGUGAGUGAUGAAGGUCUUCGGAUCGUAAAACUCUGUUAUUAGGGAAGAACAUAUGUGUAAGUAACUGUGCACAUCUUGACGGUACCUAAUCAGAAAGCCACGGCUAACUACGUG
rnacentral:rRNA from 1 species